rnacentral:tRNA from 1 species
GCCCUUGUGGCGGAACUGGUAGACGCGGCAGACUCAAAAUCUGUUGUUCGCAAGGACGUGCUGGUUCGAUUCCGGCCAGGGGCACCA